rfam:Schistosoma mansoni, Puerto Rico, WGS project CABG01000000 data, contig: 0167
AUGCAGUUGAGGAGUCUCACAUAGGACGAAACGUGCGUCAAACUGGAU